AACAUGCUAAAAAGAUGGCAAAGAGUAGAGGAGGAGUACUCCCUACCGCCCCCGAGUUGUUCUUGAAGACUCAUUUCAAAACUGUUGCUGGAAAAGGAGAAAUUGCAGCAAACAAGAGAGCAAAACAAAUUUCGGAGACGUACAACAAGAAGCUGGAUGAUUGUAGCACUCAAGGGUCACAGCCAAACCCUGAUUUGUUGUAUUGGGAGACAGUUGGUGGGAGGAACAGAGGAAAAGUGCAGGGGUUGG